rnacentral:rRNA from 1 species
UGUAACGACUGGCGGCCAGGCCGUAACACAGUGCGAAGUCGAGACGGUAGAGAGGAGCUUGCUCUCUUGAGAGCGGCGGACGGGUGAGUAAUGCCUACGGAAUCUGCCUGGUAGUGGGGAGUAACGUUCGGAAACGGACGCUAAUACGCAUACGUCCUACGGGAGAAAGCAGGGGACCUUCGGGCCUUGCGCUAUCAGAUGAGCCUAGGUCGGAUUAGCUAGUUGGUGAGGUAAUGGCUCACCAAGGCGACGAUCCGUAACUGGUCUGAGAGGAUGAUCAGUCACACUGGAACUGAGACACGGUCCAGACUCCUACGGGAGGCAGCAGUGGGGAAUAUUGGACAAUGGGCGAAAGCCUGAUCCAGCCAUGCCGCGUGUGUGAAGAAGGUCUUCGGAUUGUAAAGCACUUUAAGUUGGGAGGAAGGGCAGUAAAUUAAUACCUUGCUGUUUUUGACGUUACCGACAGAAUAAGCACCGGCUAACUCUGUG